ACGAACGCUGGCGGCGUGCUUAACCCAUGCAAGUCGAACGGAAAGGCUCCAGCUUGCUGGAGUACUCGAGUGGCGAACGGGUGAGUAACACGUGGGUAAUCUGCCCUGCACUCUGGGAUAAGCCUGGGAAACUGGGUCUAAUACUGGAUAUGACCUUUCUCCUUAUGGGGUUUGGUGGAAAGUUUUUCGGUGUAGGAUGAGCCCGCGGCCUAUCAGCUUGUUGGUGGGGUGAUGGCCUACCAAGGCGACGACGGGUAGCCGGCCUAAGAGGGUGAUCGGCCACAUUGGGACUGAGAUACGGCCCAGACUCCUACGGGAGGCAGCAGUGGGGAAUAUUGCACAAUGGGCGGAAGCCUGAUGCAGCGACGCCGCGUGAGGGAUGACGGCCUUCGGGUUGUAAACCUCUUUCAGCAGGGACGAAGCGUAAGUGACGGUACCUGCAGAAGAAGCACCGGCUAACUAUGUG
rnacentral:rRNA from 1 species